AACGAACGCUGGCGGCAUGCCUAACACAUGCAAGUCGAACGAGACCUCCGGGCUUGUGGGGGCAGGGUGCGUUACGCCGGGGAAACUUCCCCUUGGGUUGGGAUUACCUCCCCGAAGGGGUUCUUAAUACCGCUUAUGGUCUUCGCACAAAGGAUUUAUCGCCUUUGGAUGGGCCCGCGUUGGUUUAGCUAGUUGGUAGGGUAAAAGCCUACCAAGGCGACGAUCCAUAGCUGGUCUGAGAGGAUGAUCAGCCACACUGGGACUGAGACACGGCCCAGACUCCUACGGGAGGCAGCAGUGGGGAAUAUUGGACAAUGGGCGAAAGCCUGAUCCAGCAAUGCCGCGUGAGUGAUGAAGGCCUUAGGGUUGUAAAGCUCUUUUACCCGGGAUGAUAAUGACAGUACCGGGAGAAUAAGCUCCGGCUAACUCCGUG
rnacentral:rRNA from 1 species